rnacentral:rRNA from 1 species
UACGUAGGGGCAAGCGUUGUUCGGAAUUACUGGGCGUAAAGGGCGCGUAGGCGGCAUGGCAAGUCAGGAGUGAAAGCCCGGGGCUCAACCCCGGAACGUCUUUUGAAACUGACCAGCUAGAGUAGCGGAAGAGGCAACUGGAAUUCCCAGUGUAGCGGUGAAAUGCGUAGAUAUUGGGAAGAACACCUGAGGCGAAGGCGGGUUGCUGGGCCGACACUGACGCUG